ACCAUCACUCGAGGAGUUAGCACACAACCAUACCGCCACCCUGGUCUGUGUGGCCAGUGGCUUCUCUCCUAAAACGCACGAGUUCAGAUGGUGGAAGAACAGUGAAAAAAUGGUUGAAGGGAUCACCAAUAUCCCUGCCACUGAGGACGAGAAGAAACUGUACAGUGCGAGCAGCCUCUUAACCAUGCCAGAGAGUGAAUGGAAAAGUUCUGCUGAAUUUGCAUGCGAAUUUGUCCACAAGUCAGGAACUGCAGUGAGGAACACUACCUAUACUCCAACUCCGUGCCUAUCGGAAGUCAAGAUCACCAUUGAGCCCCCAACAGCUGAGGAGCAGUUUGUGAAAAAGACCGCCACCCUCACUUGCAGAGCCAUCGGCCUGGCAUCUCACAGUGAUGUUUCGAUGACGUGGACCUCAGAGGGCAAACCGCUGGCUGCUGGGGCCCCUGAAGUUAGAGAUCAAGGAGGGAUAAUUGUGGCUGAGUCUAAACUGACUGCGGACCUGGAGAAAUGGCGCACGGGCACAGAGUACAGAUGCAUCGUAUCACACACUGAUUCUUUUCCCACCCCGAGGACAGUAGUCUACAAAAGAUCAUUUGACUUAUACAAUAUCCAGACCUAUAUCGAUUACGAGGGUGAAGUGGAGGAAAGUGACCAUCUGUGGAAAACGGUGUCGGCUUUCCUGUCCCUCUUCCUCAUCACCUUGUUCUACAGCAUUGUGGCCACCAUCACCAAGGUGAAGUGAAAUCCUGCAAGGGCUGAAGAUGAGCUGGAAGAUGAGCUUAAAAACCUUACACAGACCUGUAGCAAACUCAUUUGUGUGGAUUUUCAAAUAGCGAUCAAGUAUGUUAGAAAGGCUGGGUGGGGCUCCACUCACUUGUAGUUUUUGUCUGCGUUGACUAUUCUUCUGCACGCAAUGCCGUUUUGUCUGCUUGUAGGGCUGAAGUGAACUAAUCAUCCCCGUCUUGUGUACCUUACCCUAUGCUGUUAAAAUCACCUAAUCUUGUAAAUAUUUGGUUGUUUAAUUUCAAAUAAAAAAAUGAGAACUUAA